CCCACACCAGGCCACAACAAUGGCCGCCGCCAAUGUCCCAGUCCCUGGAGAGGUCUCACCUCUCACCAAGAUGCACUCAGGGCCUAUCAGAUUCUAGAGGCCACCCACAUUCCUUGGCUUAUGGUCUUCUUCCAUCCUCAAAACCAGCAAUGGAUAGGGAUUGAUUGCUGACCUGCUGUGACCACCCAGCUGGACAUCAUAGACCUGCUACCUGCUGUGUUCAUCAACUGCAGUGUUAAUCACUGUGCCAGCUAGGCAGUCUAGGCAAUCUCGUGACUGUUGUAAAAGGGACAUUGCAAUCAUAUGUGAUACAUGCUCUUUGAUGGUAUAUAACCACUCUGUACACCCCACUUCUUUGGUGCCCUUCCUUCCUUGGGGAAGGAGGGCCCUGGGCUAUAUGGUUCUCAAAUUUUGCUCAUAAUAAACUCACCCCAAUUUUGAUUUAUAUAUUGAUUAUGGAUUAUUUGCAUCAACACAUGUAAUAUAACAUAUUCACAGGUUUCAGGAAUGAGGACAUGGACCCCUUUGGGGAGCCAUUAUACUACCUUUCACAGCCACUCUAGUUCUGGACUCAUAGUCAUUUGAUACAAUAAAUUUCCCUAUGAUUAA